GUACACACCGCCCGUCGCUGCUACCGAUUGAAUAAUCCGGUGAACUCGUCGGAUUGUUUUAUUAAUUUAUUUGAAAAAGUAAAUUUUAAAAUAAAAAGUUGAGUAAACCAUGUUAUUUAGAGGAAGCAAAAGUCGUAACAAGGUUUCCGUAGGUGAACCUGCAGAAGGAUCA
rnacentral:rRNA from 1 species